UACGUAGGGUGCGAGCGUUGUCCGGAAUUAUUGGGCGUAAAGAGCUCGUAGGCGGUUUGUCACGUCUGCUGUGAAAUCCCGAGGCUCAACCUCGGGCCGGCAGUGGGUACGGGCAGACUGGAGUGCGGUAGGGGAGAAUGGAAUUCCUGGUGUAGCGGUGGAAUGCGCAGAUAUCAGGAGGAACACCGAUGGCGAAGGCAGUUCUCUGGGCCGUAACUGACGCUGAGGAGCGAAAGCGUGGGGAGCGAACAGG
rnacentral:rRNA from 1 species